rnacentral:lncRNA from 1 species
AUAAAUAAAGGCGGAGAAGAAAAAAAGAGAAAUAACAUUAAAGAAAGAUUUAGAAAGAUAAUCUUUGAAGUAUUUGGAACAAAUUUAUUUAUACAGUCACAGAAGUUGACGGAGAGACGACAUUAUUCCGUGGUCUGUUUGAGAGAGUCCGAGACAGAUGUGUUGACGCUGUUGACAUUGUCUGUUUUAUGCUUAAGUCGGCGC